CAACAGCUAGAGUUUGAUCCUGGCUCAGGAUGAACGCUGGCGGCGUGCCUAACACAUGCAAGUCGAACGGAGUGUUGAGAGCUUGCUUUUAACACUUAGUGGCGGACGGGUGAGUAAUGUAUGAGCAACCUGCCUUUCAGAGGGGGACAACAGUUGGAAACGACUGCUAAUACCGCAUAAUGUAUCCGGGCGGCAUCGUCUGGAUACCAAAGGAGCAAUCCGCUGAAAGAUGGGCUCAUAUCUGAUUAGCUAGUUGGUGGGGUAACGGCCUACCAAGGCUGCGAUCAGUAGCCGGACUGAGAGGUUGAACGGCCACAUUGGGACUGAGAUACGGCCCAGACUCCUACGGGAGGCAGCAGUGGGGAAUAUUGGGCAAUGGGCGAAAGCCUGACCCAGCAACGCCGCGUGAAGGAAGAAGGUCUUCGGAUUGUAAACUUCUUUUAUGAGGGACGAAGGACGUGACGGUACCUCAUGAAUAAGCCACGGCUAACUACGUGCC
rnacentral:rRNA from 1 species